UACGGAGGGUGCGAGCGUUAUCCGGAUUUAUUGGGUUUAAAGGGUGCGUAGGCGGAUCGUUAAGUCAGUGGUCAAAUUGAGGGGCUCAACCCCUUCCCGCCAUUGAAACUGGCGAUCUUGAGUGGAAGAGAAGUAUGCGGAAUGCGUGGUGUAGCGGUGAAAUGCAUAGAUAUCACGCAGAACCCCGAUUGCGAAGGCAGCAUGCCGGCUUCCUACUGACGCUGAAGCACGAAAGCGUGGGGAUCGAACAGG
rnacentral:rRNA from 1 species